CAGAGUUGCAAAACUCCCACAAACCAUCGCGAAUCUUACCCGUGCGGUUGCCUCGGCGCUGGCGGUCCGGAAGGCCCUCGGGCCCCCCGGAUCCUCGGGUCUCCCGCUCGCGGGAGGCUGCCCGCCGGAGUGCCGAAACCAAACUCUUGAUAUUUUAUGUCUCUCUGAGUAAACUUUUAAAUAAGUCA
rnacentral:misc_RNA from 1 species